CGCUGUGAGGCGUUGAGCUAACCCAUACUAAUUGCCCGUGAGGCUUGACCAUA
rnacentral:rRNA from 1 species